rnacentral:rRNA from 1 species
GGAAAGGCGCGCGAUACAGGGUGACAGCCCCGUACACAAAAAUGCACAUGCUGUGAGCUCGAUGAGUAGGGCGGGACACGUGGUAUCCUGUCUGAAUAUGGGGGGACCAUCCUCCAAGGCUAAAUACUCCUGACUGACCGAUAGUGAACCAGUACCGUGAGGGAAAGGCGAAAAGAACCCCGGCGAGGGGAGUGAAAAAGAACCUGAAACCGUGUACGUACAAGCAGUGGGAGCACGCUUAGGCGUGUGACUGCGUACCUUUUGUAUAAUGGGUCAGCGACUUAUAUUCUGUAGCAAGGUUAACCGAAUAGGGGAGCCGAAGGGAAACCGAGUCUUAACUGGGCGUUAAGUUGCAGGGUAUAGACCCGAAACCCGGUGAUCUAGCCAUGGGCAGGUUGAAGGUUGGGUAACACUAACUGGAGGACCGAACCGACUAAUGUUGAAAAAUUAGCGGAUGACUUGUGGCUGGGGGUGAAAGGCCAAUCAAACCGGGAGAUAGCUGGUUCUCCCCGAAAGCUAUUUAGGUAGCGCCUCGUGAAUUCAUCUCCGGGGGUAGAGCACUGUUUCGGCAAGGGGGUCAUCCCGACUUACCAACCCGAUGCAAACUGCGAAUACCGGAGAAUGUUAUCACGGGAGACACACGGCGGGUGCUAACGUCCGUCGUGAAGAGGGAAACAACCCAGACCGCCAGCUAAGGUCCCAAAGUCAUGGUUAAGUGGGAAACGAUGUGGGAAGGCCCAGACAGCCAGGAUGUUGGCUUAGAAGCAGC